ACAUACAAGGUGUUUUUUAAGUCCAAUAAGAUGCAUACCGGAUUGAUGUUGAUAAAUGACAAUAGCUUCUCGGAAUUUGAGAAUUUGUUAUUUUACGAACAAAUAUACUUUUUACCUAGAUUGUCAGAAAAUGAAGAGAAUGAUGCAUUGUAUAUUUCCACCUACGUAGUGUACAUGAGAAACAUAGUGAAGACGGAGUCGGACGUAUUUUUCCUGAGAAAGCACGGGGUUCUGAAAUCAACAUCGAGUUUCAUGGAAGAUAGGGAAAUAACUAGUUUCUUUUGUAAGCAAAGACCGUGGUUGGUGCUUACAAAAUUAAAUCAGAAAAAUAUCCGUUCUCAAUUCAGAUCACUUGAGAAGUUCUGCAGUUCCGGCCACCGCAAACGUAAAGCCAAACUAAGGAAGGAUUACUUCGUAAGCACGCUGGUAAUAUUUGCUUUUUUGGGCUUCAUCAUUGUUACUGCCCUCACUGUUAUUCAAACGGUUUAUGCAGUACGUCAAGCUAAUUAGAUCACCUAAGUCUCACCUCAAGGGAGUAGAGAUGUUAUGUUUUUCUUUAACAAAGUGAAUUUCUUUUAAGAUCAAUUAGAGUCAUCCCUUAAAAAACCAACAGGUAUGUGUGGGAGUUGUACUUGUGAUUUAAAUAGGAAACUUCUUAAAUUAAAACAGGAUAAGGUUAUUGUAUUUCUUUUAGGUUUGAAUGAUGUUUUUACAAAUGUGAGAACACAAAUCCUUGCUCACAAGGAGGUAUCAUCCAUGGAUGAAACUCUAUGCAUGGUCACAACUGAGGAAGACGACAAAAGUGACCUUGUGACUUCAAAAUUCAAAGAUAAACACCCUACCAUUGUCAAAAUUCAAAGUCUGAAAAUGUUGUAAUUGAAAUUGAUAAUAGAAAAAAGUCAAAGGGUUUUUCAGAAGGAUAUGUUUUGAACAAAAAUGGAAAGAGGUUGAAUAAAAAAUGAUAGUGUGACUCUUGAGAGCAACAUGGUCACACCCAAGAUAUGUUCUACUUUAUUAAAUUCUCAUGUUAAAUCAUUUAAUUCUGUUUGCUCAGCAAUUAAGAUGACAAAAGAAAUUCCGGCCACCCAAAAUCAGUUAACAAUAGAUACAUGAGUCAUGGCAACGGAGUUGAGAAUCGAUGUUCUGGGUAUUACCGAUUGGGUCAGUCUACUACGGCCAAGCCAGCAGAUGUAAACAUGUGUAAAAUUUCUGCCGAGCUGGUUAAAGCUAAUGCAAGUUUCAAUGCAAAGAUCUGCUUGUCCGCAACAAGAGCAACACCAUAGAAAUAUACAUGGAGGCAGUCAAAGAGGUGUACCUAUUUCAGAUUUGGAAUUAUGUGAACAUAUGGCAUAAGUGCAUAACACAUGGAAAAAUUUUAAAUCGUGAUAUACGUGAACACAGUUACACAGUAAAUGAACAGAACAAUAAAAUUUUAAACACAUGGACAUUUUAACCGCAAAAACUUUUAAUAAAUACACUGAUACACAUGGCAUUCAUCAGCAUUAUAAAAAAAAUAAAACUCACUGAUAUGGCGAUGUUGAACUCUUCAGAAUUAAGAAGACAACUGCAAUCAGCAGCUCGAAAUCCCCAAUUUAUUUCAAAUCUUGAACAUUUAGCCUAAAUGAUUUAGGGUUUAUUUAUUGGUAGGGUUUUAUAUAUAUUUUAAGCCAAAAUUAUUAUAUAUAUAUAGUAUUAGACUAUUAGUUAUUUAUAUAGAAGAAAGUUUAUAUAAGUCUAGCUUAGGCUUAUAUAAUCUGGAGAAUGAAGAAGACGAGAAGAGGAAGAGAGAAGAAGAAGAAAGUGUAAGAUAGUGUAAGGAGAGAGAGUAUAGAUGGUGGGGAAUUUUUUUGUAAUGAAGAUGAGAUAGACGGCUGGGAUUCAACGGGCGUUUUUGGGCCUAUUUUAAGAGGGCUUUUCUGAAAAUUGCUCUAUUUAUAUAUUUAUAUAGAAGAAAGUUCAUAUAAGCUAGGCUAUAUGAGCCCAAAUGAGCCUUGUGAAUCCCAAUCUCUUAUCUUAUAAAAAUGAAUCAAAUCAUCUCUGAACCGUCCAUUUCUUAUUUUUUAUCUCUAACAUUGCAUCCUUUCUGAACUUUUCACAGUGUAAGCAAACUGCAUACUCUCAGUCACGGACAGUCCUCACGUACACUGUUUUCAAAACUCCUCUCUCAUUUUCGUUUCACCACUCUCACUCUCCACCAUUUCUCUCGCUCGUCUCUUUCUUUUUCCUCUCGCCGGUAUUCAUUUCACACAUUGUCCUCCCAAAGUUCUCAUCCUCCUUCCGUCCGUUUUCAGCGCGUUCCUCCGUUAGUCGUCUUCUUUCAACCUAUCUUCCGUUCUCCACGCGCGUCGUUCCAGGUGAGUUCUUAUUCCACUUCCACUUCGUCGUUCUUCUUUACUUCUUCUCUCACCAUUUUUUCCUGUAUUUCCUUUUCAUUCCUUACUUUUAUGCAUUGUUUAUUUGUUUUUAUUCAUUUUUCACUUCUCCCAGUUUUAGUUUGUGAGAAUGUCGGUAUGGAUGGGGAAGUUACGGCGCUUAUGUCGGUGAAGAGUGAGAUGAGAGACUUAUGGAUGGUUGGGAUAUUAACUCCGUUGAUCCUUGCACUUGGUAUAUGGUUGCUUGUUCCCGUGAUUUGCACUUGGUAUUUUUCUUCUUCUUCUUCUCAAGUUCAUUUUGUGAGUUUGUGUGCAUUUCUAUUAAUUAUAUUAGUUGACAAUUUUUUUUGAUGAAAGAUAUUAGUUGACAGUUAAUACAGUCAAAAUUAAAGAAAACACUGAAUUGAGUGAAUUCUUUCCGUUUUGCGUAGACGUGGUCGAUAAUGAAUAAUGAGAAGACUUUUUUUAGAACUACAUUAGUAAAAUAAAAAAACCGAAAUUAAGAAUAUAUCGAACAAAAAAUAUGGUUCAUGUUGAACAAGUGAAAAACUACAAAACGAACAACAGUAACAAGAGAGAGCGAACAAAGAAAAGAUGAGAUACGUACAUUGAUUGUGUGUAAUGAUUUUCAAUGGAAGAUCGAAUCAGAAUAACAUGAAUGUGUGUAAGGCCGAAGAAUUUGAUAAUAUGUAAAAUGUUUGAUAAUUUGUAAGUGUCUACUUAGUUAUUGGGUAAUGGUGAUAAUAAUGAACAAUACUAAACUAAUUUAGAAACGGAGUCAUAAAAAAAAAUGUAGAAAAAUAAAGAACAAGUAAUGUAGGUGUGUCAAACAACAUAUAGACUACAUUACGAAUAAUGGAAAGAAGAGAUAUAGGGUGUCAAAUAAAGCCCGGCUCGUCGGGCUCGGGCUCGUGAGCCCAAUAAGCCAAGUUCGAGCCCAAUCCUCAAGCUCGAUGGGCUCGGUAACGAGUAUAAAAAAACUACAAAAAUAUUAUAUUUAGAGAGAAUAGAGGUGUAACAUAGUUGAUUAAAGGUUUAUUUAGUAUUUGAGAGGUCACGAGUUCAAUCCCUCAUUUCUCCAAAUAAUUAUUUUUUUAAUUCGAACCUGACUCGCGGGCUCGAGCCCGAGCUUGACAAUUCUUACAAUGAGCCGAGCCCGAGCUCGACCAAACCAAGCUCGGCAAGCUCGAGCCCAAGCCUGGAUAAUUCCUUAACGAGCCGAGCCUGCUCUAUAAGCAAAAACUCGGCUUGGCUCGUUUGACACCCUAAAGAGAUAGGAAACAACGGAAAAAAACAAGAUGAAAUAAACUUGAUUCCGGAAGAACCUCUAUAAAAAAAUGGGUACAUGUUAGUACGUGAGCUCGCCGGACCAAGCUCGUCGACCUAACCUAUUACAAGUGUUACUCUGAUUGUCAACCCCCUCCCCUAAUGGACCAAGAGAGGUAUUUAUAGUGUCCCGUGAUUCAUUCUGAGCCUUAUGGGCCACCCGGCCCUCCUGCGCCUUCGAGCCCAUUCGUGCGUCUGGACCUCGAAGGCCGCUCGUUCGGUCCAUGGACCACGGUCCGCAGUCCAUGGUACCAACAGUACAAAAAUCUGAAAAAUGAGGAAGAUGAGAUGAGAAGAAGAGAGGAAGAGAGAAGAAAGCAAAAGAAAAGAAAGUGUAUAAAAGUGUAAGAGAGGAAGAGAGAAAAACAAAAGAAAAGAGAGUGUAAAAGUGUAAGAGAGUGUAAGAGAGUGUAAGGAGAGAGAGUGUAGAUGGAGGAAUUUUUUUUAUAAUGAAGAUGAGAUAGACGGUUGAGAUUCAAUGAGCGUUUUUGGGCCUAUUUUAAUGAGACUUCUCUGAAAAUUGUUAUAUUUAUAUAAACUAUAAUUGUAUAAAGGUAUUUUUACAUAUUAUCUCCGAAUAUAAUAUUUUUUAUUUUUUUAUAUUCCUCUUAUCGAGCCCACCGAACAUAACGAACUUGAGCUUUAGACUUGAGCUCGGCUCAUUGGACUCGCGAGCCGAGUUUUACUUGACACCUUACACCUGGUGGUUAAUCAUAUUUAGAUAAAGUACGAUAAUUGAUAUUUUGGUGGUAUAAAUAUAUGAUGAGUUGACGUAUUGACACCCCCUAUUAGUUUAGGGAUGUCAUAUGACACCGACAACGAUUGUCAAGGUGAACGAUAGCCGAAACUAAAUCUAAGAAGAUAGACAUGAAAUUUUAUGAAAACAUAAAGAUAGAACCAUACCUUUGUGAAAGAUGAAACUUUUCUUUAGAUGAGGAACCUUAGAAAUGAAAAAUAUAGAAGGAAAAAUUGUUUGAAGUGAGAUGAUAAUGAUGGUAAUGUGUGAAGUCUGUUGUAGCCAUCAACAACAGUAGACGUAUGUCAAUCAAGACGUCAAAUAUUUAAUGAGAGGUUGUACGGAUUUUUCUUCUUCUAAAGUAUACCAUAUUGGUGUUUAUAAUUAAAGUGAAACACAAGUAAUGAUGUGGAGGGUACUGUAGCUAAUGUUAGAACUAGUAUUAUACUUUAGGUAGAGAGAUGUACUACAGGUGAUGUCAGUAGUUUUCUAGAUCCACAGCCAAUGUCGUACGUAAGUUAGUUUUAUGUGCAUAACAUAAUUGAAAUCGAUGGAUGACAAGCCUGUGUUGAGGAUUUUUUUUGGCACAUGACGAAGCACAGAUAGAUGACGCAGCUGAAUAAUUUUGUUUGAUAAUGAAAAUUAGGAGAAUUCUUAAAGAGGUUUUUGAAAGGAAAAUUUUUAAGAUCGAUCAUAAAUCAUAAAACAUAAUCAAGUUAUUAAGAUUAUUCAUCUAAACAAUUUAAAUGUUUUUUUCUAUUGAUUUUUUUAUAUUAAAUUUUUUACAAGUUUUUUUGUGUAAAAUUUUAAUUUUAAGAAUAUAUGUUAUAAUUUUUUUUAAUCUCGUUUGUUCUUGAGGAAGAGUAAAAAUUGCACUAAUACCAUAAAAAUUCCAUUAAAUCCUCCUUGAUUAAUCAAAUUCACUCAACGUAAUUUGUCAUAAUUAGAUCUAUGUAUCGACCGAGCCGAAUCCGGAUAAUUAAAGUGAAACACAAGGUUUAUGGAAUAAUAUCUGGAUAAGAAAAUUCGAAUCCGGAAUUAUCAAACGAAUUUGAAUCUGCGAUAUCCGUAUUCGAAAUUAUCAAUUGAAUUCUGAUUUUAACGACGGAUAUUGCAGAUAUCUGAAUCCGUACGGAUAAUUUUCGAAUAUCAUUUUGGGUAUACGAAUCCGUAUCCGAAAUUCGAAAAUCUAAAUUCGAAUAGACAUAGUCAAAUUCGUAAUCGGAUAUAAAUACGGAUUUCGAUAUACCAGGUUUAGUCUUAAUCAUCUCAAACAUGAUUUUGAAUGAUAAGAUAGUUGAAAAAAGAUAUUUGGUGACAACAAUCUUCAUCGUUCAUUUCAAAUCAAAGGUGAGAUGAAAUUUCUUGAGAUCGAAUCGAUGUUCCAGAUUGCAUCAGAAUGGGACGGUACCGAGGCGACCCGCCCCAUUUUCACUCCUACUGCUAACAUAACUUUUGGAUAUAACCAAGACAAUUUCAAUGCUUCGAAAAAAGACAAUUUCACUACGUAAGAGCGAUGAGGCAUAGAUCGUUUUAGGAAACAUCGAGUCAGUUCCCCAAAGGUUGUGAAGACCCAAACGAUCGUAAGAUCCGGGGUUGGAACAAUGCGGAGGGUGUGGGGUGGAUCGCAUGUGAUCACACCCUUUUUUUGUUUCGAAAUCUAUAUUAUCAGUUGGUUUUGUUUCAAAAAAAAAAAGGUUGGAUACUUGGAUGGUAUACAUAUGUAAGGUGACAAUAGCGAUUCCAACCAUCCAAAUUCAGUUAACAAUAGAUACAAGAGCCAUGGCAACAGAGACGAAAAUCGAUGUUCCGGGUAUGACCAAUUGGAUCAGCCUACUACGGCCAAACCCAGAUGUAAACAUGUGUAGAAUUCCUGCCGAGCAGGUUAAAGCAAAUGACAACAUUGAUCAAGAUUACGUGCCCAAAUACAUUUCCAUCGGACCAUACCACUACGGGAAAGAAGAGCUCCGUUCGAUGCAAAAGGUCAAGUACAUAUACCUCGAAGAUCUGCUUGCUUGGAACCAGAACAACACCAAAGAAAGGUACACGGAGGUAGUCAAAGAAGUGUAUUUAUCUUCUGAAAAAAUAAGUAUUGUGAUUUCGGUGCUUGUGGAAUCUCUGAUGAACGCUUUCUGGAUAUAUUGGUGGACGACGGUUGUUUUCUUGUGGAGUUAUUGUUGAAAUAUAAUGAUGCUGACUUUUCCGGGAAUUGAUAUCCAUAAGCUCAAUCAUGAUUUGAUGCUUAUCGAAAAUCAGGUACCUUUUUCUGUUCUCAAACUCAUAUAUCAAAAUACAGAUUUGGAGGAACAAGAUAGGCCCACUUUCUUCGAUAUGGCAAUCAAUUACUUGCACAAUGGAGAGAAGAGUAUCGACAAUAUUGUAUAUGAAGAAAUCGAAAAUGUGGACCAUCUUCUCCAUUUGCUCUACUUGUGUCGGUUGAAUCGGAUUCAAUUAGAAAAUGUUCCUUCAAAGUCAGUCCUAUCUUUUGCAUUACUUCUCAUGGAUAUACAAGGUUGCAGAUAUAUUUUUUCUAGUUUUGAUUUUCUUUGUUCUACUUAUGGUUAUCUAUAUAAAAUAUGCCUGUAAAGAUACAUGGUGUCUGGUUAUAGGAAUAACAUCGGUACUUGGAGCGAUAUUACUGAUAUCGCAAAGUGGUAUAUUGUUCUGUCUAAAGGAACUGAUUUCUAUUUUGUUUGUCGGAAUUAUCUAUUAUUUUAUCAUUUGGGUGGAAGCAGGAACUAAGUACACAACAAAAUCUGUAAAAACGAAUUGUCCUCUGAUACAUGGCCUCACACAAACCUUGACAGUAACAUAAAUCACUUCUUCUGGGAUAAAUUGGUCAGAUAUCGGCCCUACAGUCAUAUACAAGAUGUUUUUUAAGCACGAUAAGAUGCAUGCCGGAUUGAUGGAGAUAAAUGACAAUAGCUUCUCGGAAUUUGAGAAUUUAUUAUUUUACGAACAGAUAUAUAUUUUACCUAGAUUGUCAGAAAAUGAAGAGAAUGAUGCACUACUGUAUAUAACCACCUACGCAGUGUACAUGAGAAACAUGGUGAAGACGGAGUCGG
rnacentral:lncRNA from 1 species